rnacentral:rRNA from 1 species
AAGAUUUAUCGGUGAGAGAUGGGUCCGCGUCUGAUUAGCCAGUUGGCGGGGUAACGGCCCACCAAAGCGACGAUCAGUAGCCGGCCUGAGAGGGCGGACGGCCACAUUGGGACUGAGACACGGCCCAGACUCCUACGGGAGGCAGCAGUGGGGGAUAUUGCACAAUGGGCGCAAGCCUAAUGCAGCGACGCCGCGUGAGUGAAGAAGUAUUUCGGUAAGGGAAGCUCUAUCAGCAGGGAAGAAAGGCCCGCAAGG